rnacentral:rRNA from 1 species
GAUGAACGCUGGCGGCGUGCCUAAUACAUGCAAGUCGAGCGAACAGACGAGGAGCUAGCUCCUCUGACAUUAGCGGCGGACGGGUGAGUAACACGUGGAUAACCUACCUAUAAGACUGGGAUAACUUCGGGAAACCGGAGCUAAUACCGGAUAAUAUAUUGAACCGCAUGGUUCAAUAGUGAAAGACGGUUUUGCUGUCACUUAUAGAUGGAUCCGCGCCGCAUUAGCUAGUUGGUAAGGUAACGGCUUACCAAGGCAACGAUGCGUAGCCGACCUGAGAGGGUGAUCGGCCACACUGGAACUGAGACACGGUCCAGACUCCUACGGGAGGCAGCAGUAGGGAAUCUUCCGCAAUGGGCGAAAGCCUGACGGAGCAACGCCGCGUGAGUGAUGAAGGUCUUCGGAUCGUAAAACUCUGUUAUUAGGGAAGAACAAAUGUGUAAGUAACUAUGCACGUCUUGACGGUACCUAAUCAGAAAGCCACGGCUAACUACGUG